CCUACGGGUGGCUGCAGUGGGGAAUAUUGGACAAUGGGCGAAAGCCUGAUCCAGCCAUGCCGCGUGUGUGAAGAAGGCCUUCGGGUUGUAAAGCACUUUCAGUGGGGAAGAAAGCCUUGGGGCUAAUACCCUCGAGGAAGGACAUCACCCACAGAAGAAGCACCGGCUAACUCCGUGCCAGCAGCCGCGGUAAUACGGAGGGUGCGAGCGUUAAUCGGAAUUACUGGGCGUAAAGCGCGCGUAGGCGGUCUGAUAAGCCGGUUGUGAAAGCCCCGGCUCAACCUGGGAACGGCAUCCGGAACUGUCAGGCUAGAGUGCAGGAGAGGAAGGUAGAAUUCCCGGUGUAGCGGUGAAAUGCGUAGAGAUCGGGAGGAAUACCAGUGGCGAAGGCGGCCUUCUGGACUGACACUGACGCUGAGGUGCGAAAGCGUGGGUAGCAAACAGGAUUAGAUACCCGGGUAGUC
rnacentral:rRNA from 1 species